GGUGAAUAAAUAAGGAGAGGAGACAGAAAGACUAUUUGGGUCUGACAGAAGGCAACUCGGUAGGAGACCAACCCAUUGAACAUCAUGGUACACAUCAAACACAUAUAUGUAUGAGCAACAUCAUUUUUGAUGCAGUGUCAUGGACUCUGUGAUCUCCAUCAUCAACAGUUGCCGACAUUUAUGUUUACAACACACAUGCACCUUUGCCUCUCUACAGUUGCUGGGUUGCUGUAUUUUCACCCUCUAUAACUAAUGUUAUUAUUAUUAUUAUUAGGCUCGUAAGUUGGUGAUGGAAUGUUUACG
rnacentral:lncRNA from 1 species